CGUCGCUGCGUGGCCGCGGUUGCGCCGGGAGCGGAGGAGUGAGGUCCUGACAGAACCAGAGCUGUUAGAGCAGGGACGCGCGAAAGGCGGGAGUACGGGCGGCGCUGGAGAACCUCCGCGGCGGAGGGGCCUGGGGGUGGGACCGCGCCCGCGAGCCCGCCCUGACCGGGGUGUCUGUGUGCUUGUGAAGCGCUCCCUUGUUAGUUCCUUCUGUGAGACUCGGGGGAGACUGAAGAGGGAAAUCACCUGCGGGGAAUGAACAGGAAAGCAAUAAGAAGAUUUGGAAAAGAGGCACUGGCUACUGGAGGAAGGGAGAAAUCACCGAGAGAGCGAAAGAUGUAACAGAAACAGGCUCUUGUUCUGUCACCCAUACUUGGAGUGCAGUGGUACAAUGAUAGCUCACUGCAGCCUCAAACUCCUGGUCUCAAGCAAUCCUCUCACCUCAGCCUCCCAGAUGCAGUGACUCAUGCCUAUAAUCCCAGUACUUUGGAAGGUCAAGGCACAAGGAUCCAUUGAGGCCAGGAGUCCAAGACCAGCCUGCACAAUGUAGCAAGACUCCUUCUCUACAAAAAAAUAAAUAAAAAUUAGCCAGGCAUGGUGGUGCACUCCUGUAGUCCCAGCUACUCAAGAGGCUGAUGUAGAGAAUCGCAUUAUCCCAGAGGUCAAGGCUGCAGUGAGCCGUGAUCAUGCCUCUGCACUCCAGCCUGGACGAUAGAGCAAGACUUUAUCUCAAAAAACAAAAAUUUAAAAAGAUAUCAGGUAGCUCAUAGAAUUGUUGAGAGGGCUGUAAAACCAGGCUUGAACUUAAACAGCAACGAUAAACCACCCACAGAACGGACAUGAUGAAGAAGUUGGCAAAUGUUACCAACUGUCCUGGUUUUUUUGGUGACUGUAGUUUCCAAGGAUUCAGAUCCUUCCAUGCCAAAAUCUGAAAAAUGCUGGGCAAAGUAUGACUGACAAUGUGGUAAUCUUACAGCUAGCACUAGAGACAUCAAGCACUAGACAACACAAUUUGCCCUUUGGCCACUUAUACAAUGGGAACUCACGCUUGCAGUAACCUCUAUUGCCACUAGGAGAGAGAAACACAGAAGGAGGAAGGGAGAAGGGAGAGAGAGGAAAAAAACUGUUGCUUGUCUCCUUAGCUGUGAGUCAAAGGUCUAACACAGAUGUCUGGCUGAAAAGCCUAGGUCACAUGCCUGCACCCCAGAGAAAGUAUGUGACAUCUUCUGCUUCCAUUAUGGGAAACAGCCUUUGCUUGUCACGAAGAUUUACAUGGUGAGACAUAUCCUAAAUAUAGGGAAGCUGUUGAAGUGGCCCAAAUAAUGACCAAUUUCUACUAAUUUGUACUAAUAUCCAAAUUACUUUUAAUUAUCUAAUAUUACUUAGAUACAGUGAGGCAACCAUUCGUUGGAUAUAUAAUGGUUUCUUUGAUUUCAAAAAUCUUUUUUUAUGUAAUAUAUGUCUGAAGACCAUCAAAAUAAAUUCUUAAAGUCAGAUUAAUAGGAUGUUACUUAUAAUAUUAUUGUAAUUAUUUGACCACAUAAUAGUUUAUGCCCAUUAUAUACUAUGUAAUUGUAUGAUGGAAAUAAUGCUGUACUUUGUUUGUAAAAGUUUAAUUAUCCUGACCUUUGUUCAUCAUAAAGAAUUGCUCCAUUUCUAUUAUUUAUCGAGGAAAAAAGUUUCUCUCUUUUUGUUUUUAAUAUGUCAUUAGGAGAAGAGUAGUUACACGUAGGCUAGAGUGUUUGCCAAGAAGAAAUUGAUUUUAAUGGGAACCUUUUAUCUAAGACAAACUUUAAGAAGAGCAGUAAUGGACAAUGUGUUCUGUGCAACUCUUCAGCCUUCAGUCUCACAUUCAUUGUGGUCAAGUAUUUUCAGCAAAGAAUAACAAGUCAGAGUUUGUGUAUAUUUUUCAUAGCUGUUCAUUCUCUUACAGAGUAACCUUGAACAAACCUCUUAAGAUUUGUGUUUUAUCUUCAUAUACUGAAAUACAAAAUGGGAAUGCCUAUAUUUAAUCAAAGAUAUAAUUUUUACUGAUAGAUAGUAAAGAACAAAACACUGGAACAAGAAUUCCUGUCCUGCCUUUCACAAUGUGGUUUUGAGGCCUUGGCCAUGUCACUUAAAUUCUCAUAUCUGUUUUCUCAAUCUAUAAAUGAUCAUAAUACCUGCACUAUCUGUCUCAAAUUGCAUAUGUGAAAGCAUCUUAAAGGUACAAAACAAUAAAUACAAAGCAUUAUUAUUAAAUUAUUACACCUUCCAGCAUUUAAUGCUAAAAAUGCCAAAUGCGUCCUUUGGUUAUAUGUAGGAAAUAUGUCUCAGAAAAAUCAAUUUAAAAUUAUAGAAGCUAACAGGUAAGUCAUUUUAAGUGUGUGGUUAUCUUCUGCAUGGCAGAUUUUUAAAUGGUAAUUAUUAAUGAAGUUUUCCUAUACUUACUGUUUCCAAGACUCCAUUCUUUCCAAAGUUUUCUGAGUUAUGCUUAUCAUCCCUUAAGUCUUAGGGAUGCUCUUCUGAGCUUUUGG
rnacentral:lncRNA from 1 species